ACGUGGCCUCAAAGUGCACCAAGGAUGUCUCCGCCACUGAGUGGCGAGCGGCAGGGGCGCCUCGUGGAGCGGCUCAUUGGAGUGGAGGAGGGCGGAGGGGGGCGAUGAAGAGGAGGAGGAAGAGGAGGAGGUUGAGGCUGCAAGGGCGACGCUCACUUGGUUCAACGAUAAACAGUCAUGGGAGUGCAGAGAGAGAGAGAGCGAGGUUGAGAGAUAGGAAGGGCUGAGAACUACGGAAUGGCCAACACAAGCGUGCCCGGAUGCUAAUUGCCAAUGCAGCCAUUAGCGUGCUUUAUUUACAGCAGCGAAACGCAAUAAAGAGCCGGGAAAUGUGCGCGUCUGCGAUUUAAUGUUUUAUCUGAAUUGCCCAACAACGGGGACGUUAAAUGAAUAUAUGUGCGUCUUUACAAAUUGUUUUAAAUACGCAAGCUUGAUGAUGAUGAUGAUGGCUGCGAUGAUGAUGAUGAUGAUGCCGAUACGCACUCGUUAUUGAUGAUGCACACGCCUAAUUGAUGACGGUUAGGUAUAAACAUAAACGAUGGUUUGUGGAUGAGGUUUUUUUUGUUUGUUCCUAAAUGCAUAAAUGCCACGUUUAUUAUUAACGUUAUUCUGCCCUUGCACGCGUGCGAUGGCGGUGAUGUAUUCAGUCAGGACCUCGAUGCCAACCGAUGUUGCGGUCUGCCGCUUGCCACGACUAGAGAGCUUCACCGGAAGGGACAGAGAGGGACAGAGAGGGAGAGUUCGUGUCGUUUUGCUGUUCCUGCUCCUCCGUCGAAGGGGGCACAGAGACUCGUGGACUCACGCAAGCAGAGAGCCAGACUCACGCGGAGAGCCACUGACUCGCACCGAGCCACGUGGACUCACACUUUGCUAUUCUUGCGUGUGGCAGCGAUCGUGUUCAUGAGCUAAAUGGCAACGUCGAGCGACUCGAGGGCUUCAGGAGAGAGAGAGAGAGAGAGCUCGUGUCCGUGUAUCACCAAUACGUGUAUCACCAAUACGUGUAUCACCAAUACGUGCAUCACCAAUACGAUUCUGAGACAACGCGAUGCAGUCAGCGCACGUUAUAACCGAAUAAACCCAACGCUUGUGUGAG